AGAGUUUGAUUCUGGCUCAGAUUGAACGCUGGCGGAAUGCUUUACACAUGCAAGUCGAACGGCAGCACGGACUUCGGUCUGGUGGCGAGUGGCGAACGGGUGAGUAAUAUAUCGGAACGUGCCCAGUCGUGGGGGAUAACGUAGUGAAAAUUACGCUAAUACCGCAUACGAUCUAAGGAUGAAAGCGGGGGAUCGCAAGACCUCGCGCGAUUGGAGCGGCCGAUAUCAGAUUAGGUAGUUGGUGAGGUAAAGGCUCACCAAGCCAACGAUCUGUAGCUGGUCUGAGAGGACGACCAGCCACACUGGAACUGAGACACGGUCCAGACUCCUACGGGAGGCAGCAGUGGGGAAUUUUGGACAAUGGACGCAAGUCUGAUCCAGCCAUUCCGCGUGCAGGACGAAGGCCUUCGGGUUGUAAACUGCUUUUGUACAGAACGAAAAGGUCUCUAUUAAUACUAGGGGCUCAUGACGGUACUGUAAGAAUAAGCACCGGCUAACUACGUGCCAGCAGCCGCGGUAAUACGUAGGGUGCAAGCGUUAAUCGGAAUUACUGGGCGUAAAGCGUGCGCAGGCGGUUAUAUAAGACAGAUGUGAAAUCCCCGGGCUCAACCUG
rnacentral:rRNA from 1 species